CACGUAGGGCGCGAGCGUUGUCCGGAAUUAUUGGGCGUAAAGAGCUCGUAGGCGGCCUGUUGCGUCCGCUGUGAAAGCCCGGGGCUUAACCCCGGGUCUGCAGUGGAUACGGGCAGGCUAGAGGUAGGUAGGGGAGAAUGGAAUUCCCGGUGUAGCGGUGAAAUGCGCAGAUAUCAGGAGGAACACCGGUGGCGAAGGCGGUUCUCUGGGCCUUACCUGACGCUGAGGAGCGAAAGCGUGGGGAGCGAACAGG
rnacentral:rRNA from 1 species